CAAUGUCUUUUGGGGCUACAGAAGAUAUUGCAUUCUUGAUCACCUGCGAUGUGAUGGCAAAGUGGCCGAUGUAACAGGCGGAGGCCGGAAGAGCAUGCAGUGCAGGGGCAGGUGCUAAGAUGCCCAGUGUGAAUCUGGUACUUGCAAAGGUAGAAGCUGUGCAUGUGAGCUAAGCCUGAAAGGGAUUAAAGACAUUGCAUUGGCAGCAGAUGUAAGCAAACCUGAAGUUGUGCAAAGGGUAGUUGAGGCUGUGGUAGCUCAGUGGGGCACAAUUCAUAUUGCGUGUAACAGUGCUGGACUCUGAAUUUUGCAAGUGAAGAGACUCCACUAGAAGAACGAGACAAAACUUUUAAUGGUACCUUAUGAGGCUUGGUUUUAUGCUGCCGAGCUGCAGGCCGCAUUAUGCUGAAUCAAGGAUAUGGGAAGAUAAUUAACACAGCAUCUAUGGCAAGUUUAAUAGGUGAGUGAUGAGAGCUAACGGUUGUGCUUCAGAAUCCAUAUUUUAAUUACUACCAAUGCUAUUUGAAUCAAUUAAACCUGUAUUGGGAAGGAGUAAAUCACUGACACUUUG